GCGGGUUUAGCUCAGUUGGGAGAGCGUCAGACUGAAGUUCACUUCAAUCACUAUCAUCCGAUAUCUGAAGGUCAUGUGUUCGAUCCACAUAAACCGCA
rnacentral:tRNA from 1 species